UACAGAGGUGGCAAGCGUUGUUCGGAAUUACUGGGCGUAAAGGGCGCGUAGGUGGCCUUCUUAGUCAGACGUGAAAUCCCCAGGCUUAACCUGGGGACUGCAUUUGAUACUGAUUGGCUUGAAUGCAGGAGAGGAUAGCGGAAUUCCCAGUGUAGAGGUGAAAUUCGUAGAUAUUGGGAAGACCACCGGUGGCGAAGGCGGCUAUCUGGACUGUGAUUGACGCUGAGGCGCGAAAGCGUGGGGAGCAAACAGG
rnacentral:rRNA from 1 species